CUAGCGCCCUACACGAUCUUCUACCAACCCCACACCGCCAUCAAGUCCCAAGCAUUGGCCGACUUCCUCGUCGACUGGGCCGAGACCCAGUACCUACCGCCGGCUCCCGACUCUACCCAUUGGCGGAUGCACUUUGACGGGUCCAAGAUGCGCACCGGCUUGGGAGCCGGCAUCGUCCUCACCUCUCCCAAAGGCGACAAGCUCAAGUACACACUGCAGAUCCACUUCGCCGCCUCCAACAACGUGGCCGAGUACGAGGCGCUCGUACAUGGGCUCCGUCUAGCCAAAGAGCUCGGCAUACGCCGGAUCCUGUGUUACGGCGAAUCAGACUUGGUGGUCCAGCAGUCGCCCGGCGACUGGGACGCCAAGGACGCGAACACGGCAAGCUAUCGAUUCCUCGUCCAGCAGAUCAGCAGAUACUUCGAAGGGUGCGAGUUCCUUCACGUGCCAAGGGCCGACAACGACCAAGCAGAUGCCCUAGCACGGAUCGGCUCCACCCGACAAGCCAUACCGACUGGCGUCUCCCUCCAGUGCCUCCUCAAGCCAUCCAUCAAGCCGUCUCCAGAGUCGGACUCUAUCUUCGUACCGCCUGCGCUAGAUGCAGCGGGAUCCGACUGGAGGAACCCCGCAGGCGGCACGGGGACUUCGACAACUGGCCCGGGGACUGCCAUAGUCGCACCCGGCCCGGGGACUGCAGCAGUCGGCCCGGGGACUGCAACGACACAAGAAGCGGUGGCCGACUCCAAUUCCACGCCACCCAACCCACCCACCCGAGUCAUGGUGGCUACACUAACAGAAGAAGAAGUCACAGCUCCAUCAUGGGCCCAGCCCAUCCUCAAGUUCCUAGUCAGCAGAGAGCUGCCGGCUGAUGAGAUCUCAGCAAGACUAGUGCAAUGA
rnacentral:rRNA from 1 species